UAAGACAGAGGUCCCGAGCGUUAGGCGGAAUCACUGGGCUUAAAGCGUGUGUAGGCGGAUUUGUAAGUACCUUGUGAAAUCCCACGGCUUAACCGUGGAACUGCUUGGUAUACUGCUUAUCUUGAGCCACUUAGGGGCAACCGGAACAAACGGUGGAGCGGUGAAAUGCGUAGAUAUCGUUUGGAACGCCAAUGGUGAAAACAGGUUGCUGGGAGUGUGCUGACGCUGAGACACGAAAGCCAGGGGAGCGAACGGGAUUAGAUACCCCGGUAGUCCUGGCUGUAAACGAUGUCGACUAGAUUGUGGCGGCUCUGACGCCGUCACGGUCGAAGCAAAAGUGCUAAGUCGACCGCCUGGGAAGUACGGUCGCAAGGCUA
rnacentral:rRNA from 1 species